rnacentral:rRNA from 1 species
UCAUACAAGAAACCCAAAUCAAUAGCCAUCCGGCGUAAAGAGUGGCUACAUGCUAUCUACAUUGACUAAGAUCAAAGUGUAACUAAGCUGUCAUAAGCCCAAGAUCCAUCUAAACCCACCUAAAACCAUCUUAGCUCUCAUGACCAAUUUUAACCCACGAAAGCUAGGACCCAAACUGGGAUUAGAUACCCCACUAUGCCUAGCCCUAAAUCUAGAUACCCCACACACCCAUGUAUCCGCCCGAGGACUACGAGCACAAACGCUUAAAACUCUAAGGACUUGGCGGUGCCCCAAACCCACCUAGAGGAGCCUGUUCUAUAAUCGAUAAUCCACGAUCUACCCAACCACCCCUUGCCCAUGCAGCCUACAUACCGCCGUCGCCAGCCCACCUCCAGUGAAAGAACAGCAGUGAGCUCAAUAGCCCCUCGCUAAUAAGACAGGUCAAGGUAUAGCCUAUGGGGUGGAAGAAAUGGGCUACAUUUUCUAGAAUAGAAUAAACGAAAAAGGAUGUGAAACCCACCCUUAGAAGGAGGAUUUAGCAGUAAAGCAAGACCAUCCCUCAAGCUUGCUUUAGACGGCCCUGAGCACGUACAUACCGCCCGUCACCCUCUUCACAAGCCACUAAAACCAAUAAAUAAUACCCACCCAUGGCUAAAGACGAGGCAAGUNGUAACAA